CUGAGCUUUAGGGAAAAUCAA
rnacentral:piRNA from 1 species